rnacentral:rRNA from 1 species
GACGAACGCUGGCGGCGUGCUUAACACAUGCAAGUCGAACGGAAAGGCCUUUUCGGAGGUACUCGAGUGGCGAACGGGUGAGUAACACGUGGGUGAUCUGCCCUGCACUCUGGGAUAAGCCUGGGAAACUGGGUCUAAUACCGGAUAGGACCGCACUUUAGUGUGUGUGGUGGAAAGUUUUUUCGGUGUAGGAUGAGCCCGCGGCCUAUCAGCUUGUUGGUGGGGUAAUGGCCUACCAAGGCGGCGACGGGUAGCCGGACUGAGAGGUUGGUCGGCCACAUUGGGACUGAGAUACGGCCCAGACUCCUACGGGAGGCAGAAGGGGGGAAUAUUGCACAAUGGGCGCAAGCCUGAUGCAGCGACGCCGCGUGGGGGAUGACGGCCUUCGGGUUGUAAACUCCUUUCGCCAGGGACGUAGCGUUUUGUGACGGUACCUGGAGAAGAAGCACCGGCUAACUACGUG